AGAUAGUAAUUAUUAUUAUUAUUUUUAUCCUUUCCAUAUUAAAUAUCCAUGACAGCUCCCUGCCCACUCUGCUUGCCCAGCAGCAGUGCCCUUGGGCUCCGCAGGACAGUGCAGCCAGCAAGACGGACACGCUCCAGCGCGGCAGAAGGGUGCCGGCAGAUCAGGUGUAGGGCAGCCAGGGCACCGAUGGGCUAGGAGGCACAGCGGCUCAGACCUGAAAUCGCCAUGAACAUGGCUUUCAGGGUCCCACAAAGAGGGACACCAAGAAGCACACCGCACUCGGGGAAACCAAAGCUGUGACUUCCAAUCAGGUACGUAUGGUCCUCCUCCCAGUCCAGGGACAGUCAGGGGUCACCGUACUCUCCAGUGAAACAGUGCUGGAAGGGCAACCUUCCCACAGAGAAGGAGAAGGGUGGUGUGAACACUGUUUUUUGUAGUCAAUGUUUCUAAGGCAUAAAAGAAUAUUGUACAGAAAACAGCCAAUGUAUUGGGUUGUUGGAAAAGUCAUGACAUAUUUUUUCUGUUUUUCAUUGCAAAAAUGCGUCAUGACUUUUCCAACAACCCAAUAUAUACCCCAAAUGGUAUUGGAACAUUACACAUGAUUGGCAUUCUCAAAACACUCACAGAUUCUGGCAGUUUCGUAUGGGAGGGAAAACUAUGCCACCUUUUUAUUUCAAUCCAGCUAUUUAUGGGGGAGGCGAUAGCGAGCUUUACAGAUAGUUAAAUCUGGAAAUACUAUUCCAAGUAACCAAGUCUAAUAGGCUGCCACAUUAUUUCAGAUACAUGUUCACAAAUCAACUUCACAGGGUGGCACUGAUGAUACUUACUGACCUCUGGGGAGUGGGGGUAGGGGAAUCAACAAAUGUCUUAUUCACUUUAAGGGGAGAAAGGAAAAAUCAUUUACUUUUCAUAAUGCAAUUAUAGAUAGGUGAUGAAAUGAGAAACUCAUAUAGAAAACCACAUAAUUUUACAUGUUUAUAUUCCCACAUAUGAAUACAAUGUGUACACAUAGAACUAUGGCACAAACGCAUCGUUUUGUGUCCAUAUACUCAAUACAUAGACAUACCCUAUGCCUAUACACUCUAAUCUAGGAAACUUCAGGAUUGGGAAACCUGCACUCAGAAGAAUGAAUCGUUCCUCAGAUUCCUUGGUUCCAAGAUAAACUAAACAAUGGCACAAACCAUCAGAAAAGCAUAAAUCAAUAAGCAAAAACAAUGAAAAGAGCUGGCGGCAUUGAGAACUGGCAUGAACAGGGCUGAGAGAGCCCUUGCAGUGGACAGGAGGCUCAGGGUGAGGGCAGGGCAGUAGGUCUGGGGUCGGUCUCAUCAGAGAUGAGACUGUUACUGCACAUUCUCUCGGUUUAACGUUUUCACCAUUGUUAGCUGAACUAUUUAAAACUGAAAUAUAAAAACAUAUAUACUUUGCUCAUUUUUUUCAACAAAUUACUAAUGAAGCAACUUGUCUUUCUGAUGCAAAUGAGUCCCAGGCAGCCUCGUAGAGAAGCGCCCACUGCACAAGGACCCAGCUCUGUGACACCUGGCCUGGCCUGUGUGGUCAGAAAGUCAGAGGUGGUCGCCGUUGAACACGUGCACCGCGAGUGACGUGGGCCGUCCACAGCCCACGCCCCACACGCCCUCUGGUGGAAUGUAGGCGGCUUCCUGUAUUGAUUCAGAGGUUACUUGUACCUUCACAAAAAUGGGAGGCAAGGAAAGCCUGCAUCUGUGCCAGGGGCUCAGACAAGCACUGGGAUUGAUCAGUGGCCACACUGAACAAGCACACGUGCCUUUAUGCUGCUCAGAACAAGCUGGGGGCGACAUGCAGUAAGCAGUAAGCAGUGUGUGCUCACUUGUGUGCUCAAAUGAUAAAUCCUACAGAGUAAAGGAAAACAGUAGGAUGAGAGGGCUUGGCAGUAGGAGUGAUGGGUAGCGAUUAGAUCGCAGGAGGUGCCGCUGAGAAAGUGACAUUUGAGCAGCUACUUGGAGGUGAAGGAGUUAACCACCCAGCUAUGAAAGAAGGGCAUUUUUAGCAGACAGGAGACAGCCAGUGCCGAGGCCCUACAGCAGGGUCAGGCCUGGCGUGUGUGGGGGCAGCACGGAGGCCAGAGUGCACGCAGAGAGGGCUUGAAGGGGAGGGAAGCAGGACACGACGGCCGAGGGGAAAUGAGAUAGGAGAUUGAAAGCUAUUGUACGUAUUUUGGCUCCUACUGAGAAAAUAAAAGGCCACAUUGUAGGCUUUCGAAUAGAAAAGUGGCAUGAUCUGACAUGUUUUUCCAGGGCUGCUCUGGCUGCCAAGACCACACUGGGCCAAAGGCAGACACCUCCAUUAGAGCCACCAGUUAGAGGCUUGCUCGGGGUCUCAGGGGAGACGUGGCCCACAGCAGUGGCAGCAGGGAUGGGGAGCAGCUGUCUGCUUCUGGAUAGAUUCUGCAGGUGGAGUCCAUAGGGUUCCCUGACAGAUCGGGCGUGCAGGGCGACAAACUAAUCCAGGAUGGCACUGAAGUUUGUGUUCCCAAAUGAGGACUUACUGAGAUGGGGAAGGCUAUGCGAGGGGACUCACAGGGACUGAAUAGGAAUUCAGUUUUAAACAUGGUGGGUUUCGGAUGACUAUUAGACAUUCUAACAGAGAUAAGGAAUUUAAAGAGCAGAACUACGCAACGGGCAUGUCACGUAGCCCUCUUUCCCUCUUGCUAAUGCUAAUAACCAGAGAACUGGAAGUUUUAAAGUAAUUAACAUGGAAUGCUAGAAAGUGUGUUGAGUUACGAUAGUUGAGAAGAAUAAUAAGCCAUCAUUCUCAGUUCCAGGAGGUAUGGAACCCACAGGAGCGUGCACAUGCACGUAUCAGAGGGGCACAGCCCUGCGCGUGAGCAGUGGGCACACGUGAGGUUCUGCGUCCUUCGCAAGGGGCCCGGGACCACCUGUUGGCAGCAAAGACAGUGACGCUGAUGCGUUUACAGACGGUGCUGAUAGUUUGACCCCUUGUAGGAGUGUCGGAAUAGGGAAGAAUCCAAGAGUUUGAAAAAGCAUUGUCAACAUUUUAAAUACUUCGGCUUAUUUUCGUCUAGGGAUUUAAUUUACUUUGAAAUUUCGAAAGGAAAGUAAUGUGAGAUAUGAAUACAUAUGGACAAACUGAUCCAAGGAGAUGGUGGGAAGCAGGUUUCUCACUGUUAGAGGUUACGGACAAGUAAGGGGGCGGAGGACGGCUAAAAUGACCCGUGCAAUCCUGGUGGCUUAGGGCUGGCCACACAGCAUGUGCUCAUGUUUAGCUUCCUGUAUUUGCAGGUAUGUGUGUAUCCCCAGCGGAGCAGAUACCCGCAUUUCUUGCUCUGGUGGGUGACAGGCCUAGAAGGAAACACACCUCAGUGGCAAAAAGCACACCCAGCAUCCAGUUUUCCAGUGAAAGCAACCAAGGCUCCUUAGGGAUCUGGCUCAUCCUAGGCUGGAGGAGGGAUGUACACACUGAGCCUGGAGGGUCUUGUAGGCCCUAAAAUGAGGACGUGUUCAAAAACCCCACGCUGAUGGGGCAUGUCAAAGGGGGCCGGGAGCCAAAUGAAAAAGCUCCCAACGGCUACGGCUGGGACAACCUGAACAACAAAAUAAAUAACACAUACUGGAUUAUGACCCGACGUAUAACAUAAACACCCAUGAGUAUAUGCUGGUAUGAAUGACUGAAUAAAGAAAUAAAUGGAUGAGACAAUACAAAUUGGUAAUUGCAAUAUGGCCUCAGGGAUAG